rnacentral:rRNA from 1 species
GAUGAACGCUGGCGGCGUGCCUAAUACAUGCAAGUCGAGCGAACGGACGAGAAGCUUGCUUCUCUGAUGUUAGCGGCGGACGGGUGAGUAACACGUGGAUAACCUACCUAUAAGACUGGGAUAACUUCGGGAAACCGGAGCUAAUACCGGAUAAUAUUUUGAACCGCAUGGUUCAAAAGUGAAAGACGGUCUUGCUGUCACUUAUAGAUGGAUCCGCGCUGCAUUAGCUAGUUGGUAAGGUAACGGCUUACCAAGGCAACGAUGCAUAGCCGACCUGAGAGGGUGAUCGGCCACACUGGAACUGAGACACGGUCCAGACUCCUACGGGAGGCAGCAGUAGGGAAUCUUCCGCAAUGGGCGAAAGCCUGACGGAGCAACGCCGCGUGAGUGAUGAAGGUCUUCGGAUCGUAAAACUCUGUUAUUAGUGAAGAACAUACGUGUAAGUAACUGUGCACAUCUUGACGGUACCUAAUCAGAAAGCCACGGCGAACUACGU